UCGAACGAUGAAACGCCCUCGGGCGGACAUGAAGUGGCGAACGGGUGAGUAACACGUGACCAACCUGCCCCUUGCUCCGGGACAACCUUGGGAAACCGAGGCUAAUACCGGAUACUCCUCGCCCCCCUCCCUGGGGGGCCCGGGAAAGCCCAGACGGCAAGGGAUGGGGUCGCGGCCCAUUAGGUAGUAGGCGGGGUAACGGCCCACCUAGCCCGCGAUGGGUAGCCGGGUUGAGAGACCGACCGGCCACAUUGGGACUGAGAUACGGCCCAGACUCCUACGGGAGGCAGCAUG
rnacentral:rRNA from 1 species